UGGCUCUAGCAUCGAUGAAGAACGCAGCGAAAUGCGAUACGUAGUGUGAAUUGCAGAAUUCAGUGAAUCAUCGAAUCUUUGAACGCACAUUGCGCCCGCCAGCAUUCUGGCGGGCAUGCCUGUCCGAGCGUCAUUUCGAACCCCUCAGGCCCUGGCUUGCCUGGUGUUGGGGCACCCUGCGGAGCGCCAGCCCCGCAGGCCCCGAAAGAUAGUGGCGAGUCCGCCGCGGCCCUGAGCGCAGUAACUAUUCUCGUUCAGCGCGUCGCCGGCGGGCGUCUGCCGUUAAAAACCCUCCCUGCCGGCCCUCCCUCGGGGGGUGUCGCGGGACCCAGUAGUUUGACCUCGGAUCAGGUAGGAAUACCCGCUGA
rnacentral:misc_RNA from 1 species